GAUGAACGCUGGCGGCGUGCUUAACACAUGCAAGUCGAGCGAGAAGUUUUGAAAAGAUUCUUCGGAUGAAAUUUAAAAUGGAAAGCGGCGGACGGGUGAGUAACGCGUAGGCAACCUGCCCCAUACAAAGGGAUAGCAUUUGGAAACGAAUAUUAAUACCUUAUGAAACUUAACUAGUGCAUGCUAGGUAGGUCAAAGAUUUAUCGGUAUGGGAUGGGCCUGCGUCUGAUUAGCUAGUUGGUGAGGUAACGGCUCACCAAGGCGACGAUCAGUAGCCGACCUGAGAGGGUGAACGGCCACAUUGGAACUGAGACACGGUCCAAACUCCUACGGGAGGCAGCAGUGGGGAAUAUUGCACAAUGGGGGAAACCCUGAUGCAGCAACGCCGCGUGAACGAGGAAGGCCUUUGGGCCGUAAAGUUCUGUUCUAGGUGAUGAAAACUGACAGUAACCUAGGAGAAAGCCCCGGCUAACUCCGUG
rnacentral:rRNA from 1 species